GGAUGUGAGGGCGAUCUGGCUGCAACAUCUGUCACCCCAUUGAUCGCUAGGGUUGUUUCAGUUGAUUUGGCUGACUAGGCAGGAGUCCUCUUCCUCCCUCACCGCUCCAUGUGUGUCACUCCCAGAGCUGCGUGCUCGGCUGAAGAGGACGACCUUCCCUGAUAGAAGUAGGACCAUCCUUCAGUUAAGAGUAUACAAGUAGCUGUGCUCCCUUGCUAGAACCUCCAAACAAGUCUCACAAUAAAGAUAUGCUAACCACCAUCAACUAUGGUUAUUUGGAUAGCACUAGAUCCACAUGUAAGGAUUAAGAGCAAUAUUUCAAAAUAACCUGGCUUUCAGUUAACCUAU
rnacentral:snRNA from 1 species